GACGAACGCUGGCGGCGUGCUUAACACAUGCAAGUCGAACGGAAAGGCCCUGCUUGCAGUGUACUCGAGUGGCGAACGGGUGAGUAACCCGUGGGUGAUCUGCCCUGCAUUUCGGGAUAAGCCUGGGAAACUGGGUCUAAUACCGGGAAGGUGCCAUUUUUAGUGUGAUGGCUGGAAAGUUUUUUCGGUGUAGGAUGUGCUCGCGGCCUAUCAGCUUGCUGGUGGGGUAAUGGCCUACUAAGGCGGCGACGGGUAGCCUGCCUGGGAGGGUGGACGGGCACAUUGAGACUGGGAUACGGACCAGACUCCGACGGGAGGCAGCAGUGGGGAAGAUUGCACAAUGGGAGCAAGCGUGAUGCAGCGACGCCGCGUGGGGGAUGACGGCCUUCGGGUUGUAAACGCCUUUCGCUAGGGACGAAGCUUUUUGUGACGGUACCUAGAUAAGAAGCACCGGCUAACUACGUG
rnacentral:rRNA from 1 species